UACGAAGGGGGCUAGCGUUGCUCGGAAUUACUGGGCGUAAAGCGCACGUAGGCGGCCAACUAAGUCAGACGUGAAAUCCCUCGGCUUAACCGGGGAACUGCGUCUGAUACUGGAUGGCUUGAGUGUGGGAGAGGGAUGCGGAAUUCCAGGUGUAGCGGUGAAAUGCGUAGAUAUCUGGAGGAACACCGGUGGCGAAGGCGGCAUCCUGGACCAUUACUGACGCUGAGUGAGCGAAAGCCAGGGGAGCAAACGGG
rnacentral:rRNA from 1 species